GGAACUGAACUGUUCUCGUAUCACUUUGUUCCUCCGGCCGUGCAGCUCUCAGCCUCUCUGCACCAUGACUGACCACUUCUUUCUUUCAGCUUCCUGUGAACUUUGAAGUUAAGCUGCUGUUCCCAUCAGGGUUGGAAUCAUGAAGCAAUCUGCCGUCUCGCUCGUUUUCCUUUUGCUGCUGUUUCUGCCUUUAUCAUCUGAAAAUGUCAUUGUCAAUGGAACCAGAGGAGCUCCAUGGCUCUGGCCAUGCCAGCACAUCUUCCCUGAACCAUUCCAGCCUAAUGAUAGUUUCAUAUACUGGCAGAGCCUGAACAACACUGUUCUCCAUGCUUAUGUAAACGGAAAGGAAGAGUCUAUACACCAAAACCAGCUGUUUAAAAAUAAGACUAAAAUCUUUGCUGAUCAAUUACCUUUUGGAAACUUCUCACUUGUCAUUGAUCCACUGACGCUGAAUGACAACACCUCCCUGGAAGUUAUUUUUGUAGAAAAAAUGAACCCUAAAAGACUCUGUCCAGUGACUGUGUAUGUAGCAGUUCCUUUUCAGGAGCCUAAAAUUGAGAUAAACCAAAAAGAGAUGACAGCGACCUGCAGAACAAAGGGAGGGUACCCUGAACCUCGAAGUCAUAUGGAGGUCCAGGGACCAUCUACAAGGAUAUGAGCGCACACUGGAACCACAUGAAGUUCGGACCAUCAUGUUCUCUGUAGAGGGAAAAACCUACAGCAUCAGGAGCACAGUCAACAUCACAGGGUCAUCCAAAAUGACCUGUGCAGUUUACAACCCGACUUCAAACCAGACACUGAGUACAACUAAAGAUGUGACUCUUUCUUCAGGAGCAAGAUUUCAUCCAACAGCUGUUGUUGUUCUUUUUAUUCUGGCCUUGAUUGUUUGUUUUUCUGUGGUUUUGUACCUGUGCUACAGAAGUAAGUGUUCCUUUUACUUUCCUUUGAAUGUUUGAUGUAACAUUAAGUGUUUGAAUGAGUAAUACUUCAGUGUUUAGUCACAUGGAUGUGUUAUAUGUUGCUUGGUCAUCUGUCCUGGAACAAGUCACCUUUGAGGAGAUCUGAACAUUUGCUGAGACUGUUGAAGGUCAACAGAAUGUUCCCUUCACCAUUAUUGUUUCGGGUUGAUUGGGUCUGUAUGAACGAAUGUGAGAAGAUCAACGCUGAUGAAAAUGUUUUGCAGACUUCUGUCCUCAGAUUUGCCUCUAAGGCUACAUCCAGGCCGCCUGCCUUUUUGAUGAAGGUUGUUGGGGCUGCAUGUAACCUGACAGGUAUACCUGCAGACACUACUCAGGGCUGAAUAAAGGCGCUGCUGAUUCAGUUUCUUCUGAUAAAAAUAAAAAAAUGGUCACAACGGUCACUUAACAUUAAUAUCCUCCUUAAAAGAAACUGAGCAGCAGUCAGAGAUGAAGCAGUAAAGCUCAGUGUUCUUUGUAGUAAAGAUGCAAAUACAACAAUUCUCUAUCAGGAAGUCUCAGGUGUCUGUUAGGCAACCCUCAAGCUAUGACGCCAGCCUGGCUAAAAACAAGAUAAAAUGUUUGUCUCUGCUGUUUUCUUCCACUGUCAUGACUCCAACAUUUCUCUUCCAGACAAACAAUCAACAAAAAACUCAUCUGGCUCAGCAGGAAGCUGAGAUUCACCUGAGCAAAAUGUUCGUGAGGAAACAGUUUCUCUAGCAGGGAAUCAAACUGCACAUCACCGUCCCACAGGGAAGAGUGAUGGUGCUGCACAUGGUGUGACCUGCGAUAACGCUCCUGCUGGUAAUGACGCAGGACACGAAAAAAGUGACAGCCUGAAAAUUUUAGAUGAAGUAAACAGCAUGGAAAGUGACAAAGACAAAUAAGAGCAGAACAGAUCAGAACUGCUGAAGGCAACGUAUUUAAUGACUGAAUAAUCAUAUUACUCUAAGCUUUUAAUCAAGAAUGCUAAAUACUACAGAUUUCAGGAACGACUUUUCCUGACUUCAAAGGUCAAAACUCCAGCACCACUUAUUGUAGCUGUGUAUGAAGAACAACUUAACUGUCAGACCAGUGUUUGUUCCUUAUCCUACAACACUGAAGCCAGGAGUCUUUAAAAUCUUAAAAGGUAUAAAUCCACUUCAUUUGUGUUAAACUGUCUGUCCCGUUGAUCAAAGGUCUUAAAUUGUCACAAUCAUGCAUUUAUUUUUUUCACAUUGCUUCAUAACAUCCAAGUUAACACUUGAGAAAUGCUGUUUUUCUUUUGUAACAUAACUACCUCCGACUGGAAUGAGCAGAACCAUCGACACUCUGCAAUCAUGUACGGUUACAAAGAAAGAUUUUCUACUGAACAGCUUCAAUCAUUUUUCUAAGAAAGAGCACUUAACAUUUUUUAGUGGAGGUGUUUUGAGGGGUCUGCAGCUUUAAGACCCAGACCUGAGUCCAGUCAGGGACCUUUAUUUGUUGUUGUUUGUUGUUUGUGGUCAGUUGCUGUUUCCUAUCCAAUAAAUAUAGAAUGCUAAAAAAAAAAAAACUGUUGUUAUGAAUUUUUAUGUGAAAUCAUAUCUGUGUGACUUUUGAUUGAUUGAUUGAUUUGUUCCAGGCGAUCAGAAAUUUAUUUUAAGAAAGUAUAUUAGUAUUAAAAAUAUUAAUCACAUAAAGUGAUAAGAUUAACAGAUUAGCUCAUUUUACUCAUUUUACAAAAGCUGCGGUCAGUCUCGAAGGAUGGAAGCAAUGUCAACAACAGGUUUUUGUUACUUCUCUGCAUCAGAGAUGUCACAGAUUCAAAGGAAUCCCUUCAGAUUCACAACUACAAGAAAGAUUUCAUCAGUUUUCAAUAAGGAAAACACUGUAAGAGAUUUUAUGUUUGCAGUUUAUAUUAAGAAGGAAUAAUAAGAACUCUAAGAUUUUGGUUUGUUUUCAUCCUUUCUUCAUUAAAAUCAAUCGUGAGUCUAUUGAACUGUGAUCGAGUUUUGAACUGAAUCCUGAUUUAAUACCAAACUAGAGCCAGUUGAUUAAUGUCACAAAUCAGAGGUUCAAAUCCUAAAUAAAGCAGCAUGUUACUCUGUUAUUUUACAGGUGAGGACUGGAAGACCCAGCUGCAGGGGUUGCAGUCAUUGUAUCUGCUCCAUCACUUGUGAACGAGUGCAGAAAAUGAACCAAAGCUCAGAGGUCAACAACAAAAACUCACCUACAGUGAAUUAAGCUCUGUGUUUACAGUCAUAAACUAAAUCAUGUGCUGACACCUGCUGGAGCAACAGUGCAGAGUUUACCAGGUUCUCACACAUGAGGAGUUCAUGAGUCACAAAGACCAAACCAUUUUAAACACAUUAUAACUUCUAUUUUAUUAUUUACAAUUAAUUGCAACUAAACCUUAUCCAGAAAAAAAUCAUCAAUACAUGUAUGGAAUAUAUGAAGGCUAAUGUAUACACCUACAUAUCAUAUCACUGCAAAUCACCUGUAAAGUAAAACUUUCCACAGAGACAGUUAAAGCUGUUGCUCAACAGUGAGACUCUAAUAACAGCAGUUCUCUGUUUUUAGUUUAGUUUAGUUUAGGGGGAAGCUGUCAUCAUUUAUUCAAACAGUAGAGGUCGCUCUUUAGCCUCAUAUGAAGCUGCCAUAUAAAUAGCACUGGCUACUGUCUUGCUUUUCAAAAUGAAAGCACUUCUUAACUCUGUCCAUAAUACUGAAGAGUUAACGUGAACCAGCUCACAACAGAUAGAAACAGGCUGUUACCUCCUGUCAGACCCACGGCACAAGCCAGCGUUUCUGAAAUAAAGUGAGAGAAUAGAUGUGGGGGGUUAGAGGGAAUCAGAACUAAAGAUCAUUCCACUGGGGGAGGACCUGAGCUCGAUGGACAGCAGCUUUGAAGGGAUUGCUCUUGAUUUUUUUUUUUUUUUUUUUUUAAGAUAAAGGAGGCUGGAGACAUUAAGCUGUUAGACAAACUGUCUCAGGAGGAAUGCACUUGGAGAAAUGCCAUGGGAAUUAGCUAAACAAACAAGGAGAGGAUUUUCUGCAUGGUCAGUAAAAGACGGAAAGAGCUGAUAUUGACAUAUGAUACUGCUGUGGUCACACUCAGACAGUCCGGAGUCAGAUAACAGAGUAUUAAAGAUCCUCUCUUGUUGGUCAACGGCUGCUUUGACUGGCAAUUAUCUAACACUACUACUCCACUACUAAAAAUGGACUCAUGAUCUUUUCCUGCGUUAGGCAUCAGUUCAGUCACUGGUGGAAAAACUGACUGUAACAUAAAAACUCAGCAGCAGAUGGGUGAUUGUGCGGAGGCCGAGGUUCUGCUACACCUGCCUCCAUCCUUUCCAACAGGUUGUCCUAAAAUAUUAAAAGGCACCUAAAGACUCAUGGGGACAAAGUCCUGGGAUGUACUUGUCAGUAUGCCCCUCCUCCAUCUCUGCCCUCGACCUCUGCAGCCCUCUUGUCCCUGGUUCCCAUGUCUCUGCUGGGAUUAAUCCCUGAACCACAGGUGUGAUAAUCCCAAACAGAAUGCUGCAGCAGAAACACUGGGACUGACAGUGCUCAGGCCCCAGUCUGCUUUGAUCAGGGGCCCAACAGCUUCCUGUUGGUCCACAAACCGAGCCCAGGACCCGCUUCCAAAGAGGCGAGAGAACAAAACAAAGAACAAUUGUUUUACAAAGUGCUGUCUGACUCUAAUGUAGCAUGAAGUGGUCAAUGCAUAGAAACUCUUUCACCAGUUUCCUGUUUCCAUGGGAUGUGCGUCUCAAACGUAUAGAAAACCACAAGUAUUUUCAACGUCAUAUUCAGAAACACUUGUGUUUGCUUUUGAUCACACUGAUCGGGAAAAUGUUUGUUGAUAAGAAAUCUGAAAGAUUGUUCUUUGACCUCUUGAAACACAAAGGAUUAAUGACUAGAGCGCCAAAGACAGUAACAAUGGUUUUACCUUCAGAACCAUGUGUUGAUCAGGACUAGUACUUUGACAUCAACAUAGCUGAUCUAAAGCAGAACAAACAUCAGCCUGACUCUCGGGGGCUGGUUCCUGUUGCACAGAUAAUUCAGAAUCAUGUUUGAGGAAAACUAAGUUUCUGUUCCUGUUUCUGUCACAGCGGCAGAAAACUCCUCAACUCUCUGAAGAAAUGAACAGUGCAAAACCUGCAAUCAUCAUCAAAUCUCUUUGUCAACUUCAUGGUGGUUCUCAAGCUGUCAGAGUCCUUUAAUGCUGUUUGGCUGUUUGAUGGUUGUUUGGUUUGUCCUUCCAGCAGGUUCUGUGACACAACUCAAGGAUAAUUAAAGCAAACAGGAUGCACCUGAACACAAUCUGGAGAGCCACAGCAAAGGGUCUGAAUACUUUUGUGAAUUAGAGUUAUUGAUUUCAGUUAAUUUAAUUUUUAAUAAAUUGGUUAUUGAUUGUG